CCUACGGGAGACAGCAGUGAGGAAUAUUGGUCAAUGGGCGGAAGCCUGAACCAGCCAAGUAGCGUGCGGGAUGAAGGCCCUACGGGUCGUAAACCGCUUUUGCACGGGGAUAACACCCUCCACUUGUGGAGGUCUGCAGGUACCGUGCGAAUAAGGGCCGGCUAAUUCCGUGCCAGCAGCCGCGGUAAUACGGAAGGCCCGAGCGUUAUCCGGAUUCAUUGGGCUAAAAGGGAGCGUAGGCGGGCGUUCAAGUCAGCUGUAAAAUCGCGCGGCUCAACCGCGCCCCGCAGUUGAAACUGGACGCAUUGAGUUCACAAUAGGCAGGCGGAAUUCGUGGUGUAGCGGUGAAAUGCAUAGAUAUCACGAGGAACCCCGAUUGCGAAGGCAGCCUGCCGGGGUGCGACUGACGCUGAGGCUCGAAGGUGCGGGUAUCAAACAGGAUUAGAUACCCGGGUAGUC
rnacentral:rRNA from 1 species